CUGGCCUGCAGGGGGCUGGGGGAACAGGAGGAAGCCGAUCAAGCAGGGUCUACAUGUGCAUGUGUGGACAUGUGCACACAUGCACGUGGCAGCCAGGCAGCCCGGUGGAGAUCUGCAGAAGUGUUAAUGUGCCACCAGGGCUGAGGCAAAUUGUUGGGUUGCUGUGUGGAAAGCUGGGACAGCCACUGCCUGUCCUGUAAACCUGUGUGAGUACAGACACUCUGUCUUCAGACUUCUCAGUCAAGCACUUUCCCCUUCUAAUGCAUUUCUUUGUUACAACAAAAAAAAGAAAAGAACUCAACAAUAUGUAUUUACUGUUACAGCAUGUAAGACGAUUCCAGUUUUCAUGCGAGCUGGAGAUGCUCUCAAAUUCUCCUUCAUCUUCAGUUCACACCCUGAGACCAUCUGACAUUAAAGCGGUCACUGCAAUAGGAAGUUUGCAAACUACCCUAUCUUCUGGGAUGAGUGAUGAAGACUUACUUCAAAGCACAGAAAGAAGCCUCAUUGAAGCAGGCACGGAAACACUUGCAGCUCUCAUUAGCAGGUUUAAUCCCUCUGUCUGGCAUCAGUUUUCUCUUGGCACUAGAAGAGCAACAUCAGGAAGCAACUCCAUGUAAGUGGACUUUUUUAAUGAUGGUUAAAUGUGCAGGGCUAAAAGCCCAGUGGGAAUGAAUAUUGUUAAUGGGGCACAGCCCAUGCACAUCACAAGCAGUCCCUGCAAAAGAGGUUCACCUCUCACUUGUCAGUGCCAGGAUUUAAAAAGACUCUAUGGCCUCU
rnacentral:lncRNA from 1 species